CAAUAAGCGGAGGAAAAGAAACCAACAGGGAUUGCCUCAGUAACGGCGAGUGAAGCGGCAAAAGCUCAAAUUUGAAAUCUGGCACCUCUGGGUGUCCGAGUUGUAAUUUGGAGAGGAUACUUCGGGCAUGGUUGCAGCAUAAGUCCCUUGGAACAGGGUGUCAUAGAGGGUGAGAAUCCCGUCUUAAGUUGUUAACCAUGUCCAUGCGAAGUUCCUUCGACGAGUCGAGUUGUUUGGGAAUGCAGCUCUAAGUGGGUGGUAAAUUUCAUCUAAAGCUAAAUAUUGGCCAGAGACCGAUAGCGAACAAGUAGAGUGAUCGAAAGGUUAAAAGCACCUUGAAAAGGGAGUUAAAUAGCACGUGAAAUUGUUGAAAGGGAAGCGCUUGCAACCAGACUCGGUCACAGGGGCUCAGCAGGCAUGCGUGCCUGUGUACUCCCCUGUGUUCGGGCCAGCAUCAGUUCUGGCGGUUGGUUAAAGGCCCUUGGAAUGUAUCGUCCUCCGGGACGCCUUAUAGCCAAGGGUGUAAUGCGGCCAGCCGGGACUGAGGAACGCGCUUCGGCACGGAUGCUGGCAUAAUGGUUGUAAGCGGCCCGUCUUGAAACAC
rnacentral:rRNA from 1 species